AAAACGAACCUGUCAGUAUUUUUUGUCUUCUUUUGGGUGCUUUACAAGUCUCAGACUGAUAGCAGCAGCGGGCGACUAAUGGCCAACAGCAUCUUGACAGCGCCUGCUGACAGGAGAUAAUGAGAUUAGUGCCUUUUGAUUCUGUUAUUAACAAGUAGCCCAAGAAUCAUUUGGACAUGUCAGGAGCUAAUGAUAGGAAUUGAGGGUCCCUAUGACUUUGGGGCAGCAGUUCAGGUAGCUGAUCCUUUGAAGACUAAUUGCAGGCAAUUUUUUCUAAAUAUUUUGAAAUAAAUGUUUUGUCACUGUAUAGUAUAAAUACCAAAAAAAAAGAAAAAAAAAAGUGAACAAAUCCUAAGUGCUUGGCUUGAUUAAUUACCACAAAGUGAACAAAUCGAUGUAAUCAUUGCUCAGACCAGGAUAUCGAAUAUUGUUGGCAUCCUGAACCAGCUGCUUCCCAACCAUCUACCAUGGGCCCUACUUGUGCCCUUUCUCCUGCUAGGGGUACCUGAUCGCUGUCCUGUCCUCUAACAGUAGAGACUGUAUGUAAAUUGAACCUGUAUGUAACCUGUAUUUAAAUUGAAUCAUACAGUGUGUCCUCUUCUUUUUUUGGCUUCAUUUGCUCAACAUUAUAUCUAGGAGACUCAUCCAUGUUGAUACGGCAAUGAUUUCUGCAUUCCCAUUGCUGUAUGGUAUUUUGUGGUGUAUGUAUGCCAAAGUUUUAAAAGCUUUUCUACGGUUGGUGGAUAUUGGGUUUGUUUGCCAAUGGUUUCUGUUUAUUAUGAAUGAUGCCACCGGGUACAUUCUUGUCCAUCUUUUUGGGGAAUGUACAUACCCAUUUCUUUCAGAUGCAAACUCAGGGAUAGAAUUUCUGGGUCAUAGAGUGUAAAGUGUUUUAUUCAGUGUUCAUGCAAGCUGCCUAACAGUUUUCCACAGUGAUUGUGCCAGCUUACAUCAGCAGAGUAUGAAAGUUCUAGUUGUGUCACAUACUUAGCAGUAUUUUUUUUUCACCGCUAAUAAAAAAUCUUUUUCCCUUGGAUUCCAUUGAUCAAGAACCAGAGGUGGCAAGUGUAUAGGCCAAACUGAAAGUUACAUUCAUUGUAGCUUCUAACAGUGGUUUUCAAAGGAUGUAAAUACCCAGACUUGUAUUCUUUUUUUGUUUGUUAAAAGGAGCCCAUUGAGUAUUUUAGAGGCCCCUUAAGACAAAUAAUAUGCUGAGAUUAUGCAUUAUCUUUUAAUUGAAGUGGUUAAAUGCACACAUUGAACAGCACUUUGCUAACCUACCUUUUACAUACAUACAUGUAAUUAUGAAAACUAUAUUUAAAAUGGUGGGUGUUCUAAAACGAAUAGAUGAAAUGGUGUCUCUUCAGAUUCUCUAAUGGUAUGCCACUGUCCUCUGUCUGCGGUUCUGAGGUUUGCCAUGACUAAGGCAGUUGAUGACAUACUGGUCAAGUCUUAGGUUAACUCAAGGUGGGAAGGAAUCUAGAAUCAGGAAGUUUGAAUGACAGCAUUGGGCUCCAAAAAUGUUGGGACAGGCUAGGAAGAUCCAUGGCCCCAACCUAGCAUGAUAGGUCACUGGCCCCAUCUACCCCUGGUCGCGNAAUGGUCGGGAUCCAGAGUGUCCUUGAGUGGACUCCUUUGCUGGGGUUGGGGGCUGAGCCAAGAUGCUUAGAACAGGCAGUACAUGCUGCUGUCUCCUGCACAGUCCCCAAAAUACUGCCUGGAGGACUCUUCCUGUGCAGCUAAAUACUGAAUACAGAGAAACAGUGGAAGAAUUCUUGUUUUCUUAGUGAAAAGAAACACCGUUUUCUUUGAUCUUCCUUAAUUUACUGAUCAUCUCCAGGUAGCACCCGAUUACUGGUCUGGCUCCUUGCCGUGAAUCCGGCAAGAUCUGAGAGAAGAAAGAUUAAAUGGGGUCAAGAGCUGGUUGUGGGCUAUCAGAGGGGUGCCGUGACAGAGAGUUUGCUGUAAAGCAGGACAGAGUGCCAGGGUGGGAGGAGGGAGGUGAGUGAGACAUUCAGGGAGGAGUGAGGCCAGGAUGUGGAGAACAUGAAGGCUUGGCCAGUGAAAGAAAACGGACCACCUGGAGUCCAUUUCUCAAGAGUGUGCUGGAUCAUGCAGGUUGCAGAAAUCUGAUGGUCACUUCAAGGCCAAAAUGGACAGAACUUCCCACUCCUUCCUGAUCGUUGCCUGUCCAUGUUUUCCCCCUCAGGGUCUUCAUUUCCCUAUUUAGGGUUGCAUAGCUCUAGUUGCAUAGCUCUAGCAUAGUUCUCUAGCCGAAGUGUUUUUUGUCUUUGUUUUUGCUUUUUAGGGCCACACUUGUGACAUAUGGAGGUUCCUAGGCUAGGGGUCAAAUUGGAGCUAUAGCUGCUGGCCUAUACCUCAGCCACGGCAAUGUGGGAUCGGAGCUUCGUCUGUGGUGUACACCACAGCUCACGGCAAUGCCAGAUCCUUAACCCACUGAGUGAAGCCAGGGAUCAAAGCCACGUCCUCAUGGAUACUAGUCAGGUUCGUUAUUGCUGAGCCACAAUGUGAACUCCUGAACUGUAUUUUUUGACUCUGAAAAUACUCUAACACUCCGUGAAUGGAGGUGUAUUUUUUAACAGUUGCAAUUUUUGAAUAGAUAAAAUUCCCCCAUAUGAUAUGAAAACUAAGAGAUUUGAAAGAUUAUGAAAAGUUUUCCUCCCGUUUUUGGCCUUCUAUUCCUUAUUUCCCAUUGUAACCCCCAAGGGGUUUUUUUUUGGUUUAUUUUAUAUUUUUUCAGGGUUUCUAAGGUUUUGUGUGUUCAAACAAAAGGAGACACAUAUUGUUGCUUUUUCCAUUGAUACAAAAGCUAGCCUGCUAUUCAUACUAUUUCGCCCCUUGUUUUUUUUCACUUAACAAAAAUAGCUUUCCAUAUCAGUACAGAGAGCUUUCUCAUUAAUUUUUCUUAGGUGCCUAGUGUUCUAUUGUAUGAAUUCAUAAUAAUUUAUUCAGUCACCUAUUGAUGGACAUUGUGCUUAUUAGCUUCCUUUUAGUAUUAAAGAGCUGUAAUCAGUGACCUUAGCAUGUCAUUUUUGAAAGUUUGUAAGAGUAUCUAUAGGGUAAAUUCCCAGAAAUAGAUUUGCUGGGUCAAAGGCCAUGUGCAUUUUUAAUUUUGAUAGACAUUGCCAAAUUUCAUUCCUCAAGAGUUAAAUUACUUUAAAUCAUCACCAGCAGUGUUAGGUGCAUGCCUCUUUUCCCACAGCUUCACCAACCGGGUGAGUUAUUAAACCUUUGAAUUCAUGCCAGUCUGGGAGGUUAAAAAAAAAGGUUCCUAGUGUGUGAUUUUGGGUUUCUCUUAUGAAUGAGGUUAAGCAUUCUAUUAUAUAUCUGUGAGGUAUUGGUAUUUCCUUUUAUGCCAACUAUGUGUUUGUAUCCUUUGUUCAAUUUUCCUACUGGGUUUUUGUUUUUUUAUGAUUAUUUUUGGAGCUUUUUGUGGAGAUGUGUAUCCUUGUGUGUGUGUUUGUGUAUAAUUGUGCAUAUGGAGGUGGGUACCCUGUGUAUAUGUAGUAAGUCUUUGUUCCAUGAUGGAGAUGCAGGUUUUCCCCAUGUUUUCCAGUUGCCUUCUGAUUCAUUUGGGUGGCUUUUUAUUUGCUUUCUUUUCUUCUUCUUCUUUUUUUUUUUUCCACGCAGAAGUUUUGCUUUAAAUGCAGUUGAUUUUUAUGCAAUUGAAUUUAUCAUUUAUUUACAGAUUUUUGAUUUUUAUUUAGUGUAGAAAGGACUUUUUUACUCCUUGGUUUUCUUCUAGUACUUUGUUGGUUUGCUUUAAAUUUUUUUUUUUUUUAAUUUGGAAUUUAUCUUAUAUGACAUGAUCUGACCCAAAUUUGAAAGCAGGUGGGGAAUCAGGCAGGAGGUUAGGAGAAAUGAACAAAAAGAGAUCAAGAUGAGGGAUGUGGGAGAGAAAUGGAAAGAGAAUUAAAAUUCUGGUAGGAGAAAUGAGAAUUGAUGGCAGUUGGAAGCUGGUAACGAUUAUAGUACAUGUCCUUUAACAGUGACUUAAAUAUUUUCAGGACUUCAGCUGUCCUUAAUCCCCAUGAUAAAAUAGGUAGGCCACCAUUGUUUUCUCUAGUAUCUUGUUUCUUUAAAAAAUUUUAUGCAAAUAGGGCUCAACAUGUUAAGAUUUGAUAAAGUUGGGUGGGUAGGUGAGUGUUGUAGGCAUACUAUUUCCAGUUCUUAUCUCCUUAUGCCAAUAAGUGCACAUUAAAAAUAGCAUUUAAAAACAGGUGGGGCAAGCCUUUGUAUCCUUACAUCCUGGUGUCCAAAUGUGGCUCAGCAGCUGAUAGACCCCAGCUAACUCUGGGGGUAGAAGUGGGUCUUGGGGUAGAAGUUUUUUAAAAAUUCCUUAUUGAGGUUCUUCUUAUUUAGGUCAGGGGCUGUGUCUUUCAUCUUGGUACUUUUAACAAACAAAACCAAAAUUUCUCUAGCUCACCACCCUCAAUUCAAGAGCAGAAACGUAUUCCUAUGUAAUACAUUCUUGGAGAUGAGAGAAAAAAGAUUUCCUCUUUUUUUUUUUUUUAGAUUUUUCACAAUCCUUCCCAUGAUCAGGACUCAUAGUUUGCUCUCAGAAACCACUGCUUGCGUCUGACAGAGGUCUCAGGUUUACAAUCAUGGGGGUAAUUUUUGCAUAUGUACAGAGUAGUUUUUAAGUAAAUUAUCAAAUAUGUGUUGAGCACCUCCUUACUGGGUGCUGGGGGUAGUGUUUUGAAUAAAAUUAAGUCCUUGCCUUCAGGGAGUUUACCUUAUGGAAGUGACAGCUAAUAAACACAUCAAUAAAUUCACAAAUGUAAAUCUUAGAGUUAAUGACCUAAAGAAGUCAAAACAAAAGUGCUGAGGGGAGUUCCCAUUGUGGCUCAACAGAACGAACCUGACUAGUAUCCAGGAAGAAAGCGUGGGGGCGGAGGAUUGAUCCCUGGCCUCCCUCAGUGGGUUAAGGAUCCUGCAUUGCUAUGAACUGUAGUGCAGGCUGGCAGCCACAGCUCCUAUUCAACCCCUAGCCUGGGAACUUCUAUAUGCUGCAAGUGCAGCCCUGAAAAAAAGAAAAGACAGGGAAACAAACAAACAAACAAAAAUAACAAGGCGGAUGGUGGGGGUGAGAUGGGGAAGCAGGAGGCUAGUUGAGGUUGUAUGGCCAGGAAUAGCCUUUUCCUGAGCAGUUGUGAAGAGUGACCCAAGCAAAGAGACGAAAAACUUUCCAGGCAGAGGGAACAGCACAGUUGGGGGCUCUGAGGUGGUCACAAAGAGCUGGCUAGGCAGGAGCGGCCCUUGUUCCGCAGGUUUAAAGCAGGGAGGGAGGGGAGCAGGGAGCCAGGGGCUGACCAAGCCUUCCAGGCCUGAGGCACGUGGGUGGCACUGUGCUGGCCUGUCUGCACCUCCUCUCUGUUGGUGAAGUUAGAUGUCCCUUCCUGGAGUUGCCUUUCCACUCCACAUUUGUGCUCUUUUUUUUUUUCCUUUACCUUUUUCUUUGUUCCCUAUUCAUUUUCCUUUUAGAGCAGUGAUAGGUGUCACACCUUAGAUAUGGCCCAAAGUUAUAAUAAAAUCUUCAGAGUCUCAUCUCCUGGCCUGAUAGGGACAUCCUGAGAGCAGUUUCCCUUGUCCACAGCGGGUGUCUGGGACUGCAGCUGAUGUGCAGCCAGGAGAAGGUGGAGGCGUGGGCUGAGGGGAGAGGGUCUGCCUACUUUGAUAUUGAUUCAUCUCUGAUGGGCAUGAAAAGAAAAAAAAA
ensembl:lncRNA